rnacentral:lncRNA from 1 species
AAGCAAGAGUAGACAAUGAAAUAUAAUCCACGCUGGGUUCCAGAUUCCAGUCUGGCUGCGAGGAGACUAGAGUCUAGCCUCUGAGCCUCAGCUCCCUCAUCCUUAGCAAUGGACCCCAUGGGACACUUGCUGUUCGAAUAAUGAGGACAGAGUGGUAGAAGGGAAACAUUUAGGAUUGCUGAGUCAGAGCCUGAAAAUUGGGUUCACAUCUGGGGCGCAUCUCUUCUCAGCUGUGUAAGCAUCGAGGCCUUGUUGGUUGGGAAAGACGAGCAGAACCUACGACCGUGAGCCUGACGAGCUUCCAGAGCCCUUGCUCUCCUUCCCUCAUGGCCCAGCAUCUGUUCAGACCUCCUCGUUAUGGUCACCGUUGUAGACACUGGGCGUACAUGAAGAACCAGACCCCGUCUGGGACGUCAUGCUGGGGAGUCAUGCUGGGGCGUGCGCCCUAGUGCUCGACUCAGGACUCAUUCGAGUGCAUGCAGUGAUAUGCGUGUGGUUGCGUGAUUGCAGAGGAAACGGCAGUGCUGGCCUCACCGGCAGCCCAGGAGCUCGCCGACCAGCCCUCCCACUGUCUUUCUCUCCCACUGGAGGAGAUGGGGCCCCGAGAACGUGGGGUAUGGAGGCUCACAGAACAGGACCUGGAGAGAAUCCCAGAAAUCAGCUGGCCUAAUACUCCCACUUCACAGAGGGAGAAAUUGAGAUCCAAAGGAAUUUGACUUACUCAAGACUGGGAUUAGGUCUCAGAUCUCUGAAGACCCCCCAAAUACUUUGAAAUCUUUAAAUAUAGUAGUUCAUGAAAAGCAGUAGUAAAAGAUAUUAAUGUAGUUACUUCUGGUAUACAAACACUCCAGUAAGCACCCGCUGUUGUCUAUAGGAGUUUUCAAUUUUAUACACAAAGUUCUCAGACCUUGAAUGGCUCAACAAUAAAUUAUUGAGUGAGCGGUGACUCAGAGACUCCAUGGUUUGGAGGAGCUUUCAUUCAUGUGGAUUCCUUUCUGUUUGAUAAAGAAGUACCAGGUACCACCAGCACUGGCCUGGGACCCCCAGGGAAGCCCUCAGAGCGCAGCGGGUAACCAGACCCAGAAGUCACACAACCCACACCAGGCAGAGGGGCGGACGGCCUCUGCCCCAAGCCAAACCCCACAAAGGCCUUCCAGAGCUUUUCAGAACUGUGUACACAUUCUGCAGCUGGAGGAGAAUCCAGAGAACGGGAAGUUCUGGGGACGUGAAAUAAAGAUGAAUUAG